UACGUAGGGACCAAGCGUUGUUCGGAUUUACUGGGCGUAAAGGGCGCGUAGGCGGCGUGACAAGUCAGUUGUGAAAUCUCCGAGCUUAACUCGGAACGGUCAACUGAUACUGUUGUGCUAGAGUACAGAAGGGGCAAUCGGAAUUCUUGGUGUAGCGGUGAAAUGCGUAGAUAUCAAGAGGAACACCUGAGGUGAAGACGGGUUGCUGGGCUGAUACUGACGCUGAGGCGCGAAAGCUAGGGUAGCAAACGGG
rnacentral:rRNA from 1 species